rnacentral:tRNA from 1 species
GCUCGGGUGGCGAAAUGGCAAACGCGGCCGGUUCAAACCCGGUUCAUUGGGGGUUCGACUCCCUCUCCGAGCA